rnacentral:rRNA from 1 species
AAUCAACGCUGGCGGCGUGCCUCAGACAUGCAAGUCGAACGCGAAAGUUCCCUUCGGGGAGCAAGUAGAGUGGCGCACGGGUGAGUAACACGUAGGUAAUUUGCCUUCGGGUGGGGAAUAACAGUCGGAAACGACUGCUAAUACCGCAUAAUGCAGCGGCUCGACAUCGAGACAGUUGUUAAAGCGGGGGAGUCCUUCGGGACCUCGCGCCUGAAGAGAAGCCUGCGGCAGAUUAGCUAGUUGGUGAGGUAAUGGCCCACCAAGGCUACGAUCUGUAACCGGCCUGAGAGGGCGGUCGGUCACACUGACACUGACAUACGGGUCAGACUCCUACGGGAGGCAGCAGUCGGGAAUUUUGGGCAAUGGGCGCAAGCCUGACCCAGCAACGCCGGCGUGGAAGGAUGAAAUUUUUCGGUAAUGUAAACUUCGCAAG